rnacentral:lncRNA from 1 species
UUUUUUGGCUUUUAGCGAAUUGGUGUUAUUGAAUUGGAACACUGUUGGGUAUAUUCUAUGCCCCAUGGCACACGUAAAAACAUUUGGCCAAAAGCCUUCCACACAAACUUUGAAGUCAACAAAGUAAACCCCCAAAUAACACUCACACACAAAAAAAGGGACCAUGAUUGAUGAACCAAUCAUCUUUCUUGUGGAAUUUUCCAUGCAACUUCUCCCUACCAAAUGUAUUCCACUUUGCUAUUAUUCCACAAAAAACAAAAACUACUAUCAGGAUUGCAUAGACUAACUAUCAGUGUUGUGAAGUAUACUUAGCUUAACUUGUUAAUAUUUUCAAUUUAUUAGUUCUUAUUAUAAGUUACAAUGUUAUGUCCUGUAAUUUUUAAAUAUAUACCAACACCAAAACAUAAGAGAUUAUGGUUGAUGGAAGAGAAAAAAUGAAAACAAAUUUGAUGUCCUUAAUCAAUGCCAGAAACUAUGAAUGUCAUGACAGAUACUUUCAUUUCAAUUCAUAGAAUACCACUUCCCAAAGAAUUUCUACAUUACCCAUCAGCUUUCAUUUUAUCCUCGUUUGUUCCUCUAAAUUACUUUUUAAUGUAAGUAAAUACAGUAUGAUGUAGAGAUGACAAUUCCAACCCAUUUAUAGAAAAAUGGGUUUGAUUUAGGUCAUUCUUUAUAUCUAAUUGGUCAAACAGGUCAGCCCGGUUCCAAAACUCAUUUAAAUGUGUUAAAAGUUUGUGAGCUGUUUUAAUAACCAAUUAAUAUUUUACUUCUUAAAACACAGUUUUAAUAAGUUUUCGUAAAAUAUUUAAGGCAUUCCAGUAAACACUUAUGAUAUUUUAAAACUGUCUUUACCAGAUUUACAGGUUAUUAAAUUUGAAUAAAACUAUUGAUGCAUGCUAGAACUCAUAUCUUUAAAGUUGUAAUUCAUUUUAGUUGCAACUAGUGUGGUCUCUAAUAUGUCUAAGACGCAAUAUUUGUGUUGAUAUUUACAAAAAGUUGAUUACAUGAAAAUAAACUGUCUUUUUUCUGUCAAAAAUAUACAGUAAAAAAUGAUAUUAGAUAACUAAUAUCCAGAAACUUGUAUUUUGGUCUUGGGGUAUUUUUCUUUUUCUCUUAAUCAAUAUAAGUGGUUGUUGGUUAUUCCACAUGACAUUCGUAAAUGUAUUUGGCUUAUUGGCCACAAUCUAUUAAUUUUCAUGGAAGACUUGGAAGUCAAUGAAUACAUCCAAGCCUAUUUUUUGUUUUCUCUAGAUCGAAAGAAGUGCUUUUUAGCCAAGUCUAUCCCCCUUGGAAGAAGCAAGUGUAAUUGCAAUAAAAAAAAAAUUUAAACAAUUAAAAAGGAAUUGAAUAUAAUAUAGUAUUUGGCAAGAUUACAAUUAUAUUAGAAGUCACUAACUACAAAAGACUUGGAAGUCAAUGGACAGUUUGUAGCCACAAACGGGUAUGCUCUGGAUCUGGACUGUAUUUUUUUUUUCUAUGCCCCAAGGAAAACACAAAUGUAUUUGGCCACAAGUAUUUUUCACAAAAGAAAUUUGAGUCAACAAAGUAAACCCCGAAAUAAAUAACAUGGACACAGGAAAAUAGUGUCAUGAUUGAUGCACUAAGUUAGCAUAUUUCUUGUGGAACUUUCCAUGCAACUUCUCCCUAACAAGAAAACAAAUAUAUUCCUCUUUUCUUAAUAUUCCAUUAAAAACGAACCUAGUAUCAGGAUUGCAUCAGUCUAAUUAUCAGUUGCAUGAAGCAAGUAUAGUUAGUUUAACUUAAUUUAAUAUUUAUCAAUUCUUAUUAUAUGUUACAAUGUUAAGUACAUAUUCCAUAACUUAUAUUUUGUAACUUUUACAUAUGUACUAUAACAGAUCGUUCAAACUGUAUUUGUGAUUCCACCCAUGCAUGGCUCAUACCCCAUAGAUCGUUCAAACUGUAUAUGAACAAUAAUCAAUUUUAGCUCAAAUGGUAAAAACCACUUUCAUGAGUUUCCUUUGUUGCAAAAUAGGAGAUAAAAAACUAGCUACCAACAAGCUGGUUGGUUUGAAGAAAGAGAGGAUCAAGAAAGAAUCCUUGGAAAACUUGGAAGCCAAUGGAAAUUGUGCCCAGACUUACACUCCUCUAGUCCCUAGGCACACGUAAAUGUCCUAGGCCACAAGUUUUAAUUCAAUGACUUUGAUAUCAACAAAAAACUAUUAACUUGAUUUUGACAUAUAAAGGUUUACAAAACUAACUUUAAGUUUUUGAAUAUUCAGCUUUAAUAGAUUAUGAGGAGACUCACGACUAGACUCGCCGAGUCAGAUGAGAGACUCGUCGAGUCUGCUCCAUGCAAGAGCCAUAUAUGUGUUUUUGCUCGAAUCUAAUCCAUUCCAUUCAUAGAUCUGGGUUCCUAGAGCAUGAAUAACACAUAAAGUUUCCAACAAGUUUCCAACUUUACGUGUAGAUAUUCCUCCAUGAGGGUUUUAGGGUUCAAAAUGCACCAAAAGAGUAGAUCUAAGGUCUUCAUGCAAUAUAGGUCCAUAAAGGUAGUAGAUCUGAGCUCCUGGAGCUCAACCAAGUCUAGAUCUAGAGACCAAUCAACUUAUUACGAAAUAUGAUGCACAUACAAGCUUGGGGAAGGGCUCAAGGAAGACUUUAAUGGAGUUAUAAGCAUAUAGACAGGGGGAAAACGAGUUUUACCUCAAGGAAAUCACUGAGAGGACACUAAGAUGCUUGGCUUCCUUCCCUUCCUCUUGAUCUACUCCACUUCCUUCUCAAAAUCUUCAAGAACACACCCUAAAAUGCCUUAAACUCACAAGAACAAGAGUUAGGACGUAUGGAGAGGUUCUGGGGGUGAAUGGGGCGGAGUUGGGGCGCAAAUGGGUGUUUAAAUAAGGUGCAAACCCUUGGAAAUUAGGGUUUCAUCAAACAGCACAAACUCGCCGAGUCCCUAAUAUGGACUCGUCGAGUUGCCAUCUUAUCCGCGCCCCAAAGUCUCGUCUCUACUCGGCGAGUCGGGCCUCUAACUCGCAGAGUCCACGGCCAAAAACACAAAUACUUAAGGCAAAACUCACGUACCAGGAACCAGGUGCUAUAUAUAUAUAUAUAUAUAUAUAUAUAUAUAUAUAGAGAGAGAGAGAGAGAGAGAGAGAUUAUUGUUGUAGAUGUACAUAAUAAUCAAAUAAAAAUAAAAUAACCAUGUGUCCCUUUUUGAGUUUUUGUUUAUAUCAACCUAAUCUUAAAACUUCAUUCAACACAAAAAAAUGUGACAUUUAGGUAUAAAUGGUUUAUUCUUGUCUUGAUAGUUAUUAACUUAAUGGAUUUUUUUGGCUUGGAAUUCGACUUCUAAGAGAUCUAACAUUAUGGUUGGGGGUAUUUCAGAGAAACAUUGUUGAAUCCAAACAAAUGCAUGAUUUCCAAUUUGUGAAAAUCAUAUUCUUUAAGCUAGGAUAGGGGGAAACAACAAAAAAAUACAUAUGUUUUUCCUUUGUAGAUCUAAAAUUCUUAGACUUUUGGCCCUAAGACUAUCUGUUAUACUCUCCACGACAACGAUCGUGGAGAGCUUCCAGAUCAGCCACCGAAGCAACCACGAACCACCCCACUACAACCGGAGUACUCUCCACUGAUAACGAAGAGAAAUAACUAAGAGAGAGACAGAAGAAGGCUGAGAGAGAAGAAAUUUGUCAAGAAGCCAUGAUUGGGCGUUACGUCUCAUCUUCGGCACCAUGAGCCAUCACGAAAACGACGAACCACGACCGGACGGGGUGGUCUGCACGGUUGUUGUCUGUGGCCACGUAGACCACAACUGGGUUCGUGGUCCAUAUACUGGAUGGCCUAAACAUUUUUUUUUGAAACAUGGUACGUCUUGCUUCACCACUUUGUAUGUUGGUCCCACUAGAUAAGAAAAAAGUGUUCUUACCUAUUUUAUCCUUAUUCAGAGCCAAGUAUAGGGAUUUUUUUUACCAGUUAUGUAUUUGACCAAUAGUUUUUUCUUAAUGGGCCAAACACGUAAAAAUACUAUUUUAGCUAAAAAGGAAACAUUUCAAAUAGAUCAAACAUUUUAAUAGAAAUCCAUAGUAUAUUGAAGUAUUUUCAACCAUCCUAACUUGCUUUAAUUAGUCCAAACAAUUUGAUCAUGUUUUAAUACCCUAAUCUUAUUCAUAUUUAAUAUAUUAAUUAUAUAUGAAAUUGAAAAAAGUGUUUGCAGGUUAGCCCAAUACGGUUAAACGGUAUCUUACGGUUUGUGUUUUGAUAUUGCAUCCUACAUGCCAAUUUGCCACAUAUAAGGCUGAUAUAUCUAGAACCAUCGAUUUUUGUGGAAAAGUACGCAAGGUAAUUAGGUAUUGUGACAAACUUACACAUAUUUUAUGAAGAAAUAAAUAGGAGAUAUAAAUAUUCUUUCCCAUGAAUUGCCUACCUUCUUUACUUUUUUGAAGGAUUGGCCAUAGCUAUAUUGUUUUUGUAUUACAAUUUGCAUCGUGGUAUGUUUUUCAUCUUGUUUAACUAUGUUCUUACUCAUAAAAUUGCUUUGUUUGAACUUACGCUUAGUUUCAGGAUUAGUUUGACUAGUAACUUUGAAUAAUAUUUGAUAAGUAGUGGAGCCUUGUUGAUGAAAUCAAUGUGAUUAACAUUAAAUAUCUGGUCAGCAGUGGAACCUUGUCAUAUCAUCAUCUUGUUAAUUGUUUGGUCAUGUAUGCUAAAAAAUCAAAUUACAAAAAGAUGAUGAAGGUAUCAAAAGAAACAAGGAAGCAGGAUCGAAGAUGGACAUUUGCAUUUUACAAGCUGAAUGUACAACCUUUAAUAUAAGACUAUUCUCAAAGAGGAUGGGGAGUGGGGAGGGGAAGAAAAUUGAUCCAGGUCUUAUGCAUUCCAAAUGCAGGUACAUUCCUACAUAAUAAAGGAGGCUUAAAAGAGAAGAAAAGUGAUACCGAAGAUGCAUAUGAGGAACUAAUCUUGGAAGAACUACAGAAAACACAUACUUAACUAUUUGAAAAAUAGCCAAGGCAUGCAACUUAAAUGAAUCCCAGACCAUAAAUUUCCCAAGCCACCAUUUGCAAAAGUGUGCUUCACCUAAAAAAAAAAUGAAAAAUGAAAACGAUAUCGUUUUGGACGUUGUUGACUGUGGAAAGUGAAAUCAUCUGUGAUUUAAAAAAAAUGUAUUAUCAUGUCAUGUUGACUGCGAAAUUCAAAGACCAUACUGUGAAAAUCAUAACCUAUGGUAUGAAAAUUUGCACAUUGUAGAGGAUGUUAUCUUAUAAGAGAUUGCUUUGUAAAAAAGAGUUAUCAAAACCAAUUGUCUGCAUUUUUUAGCACAAUUUUCACUAUGUUUUUUCUUCUGAUUUCCUUAGCAAUUUUUUCCACCUUACCCUUUUGCUCUUGCCGAGAUAACAUGAGUUCAAACAUUGUACAUGACUAAUUGUUGUUUUUUGUUGGUGGUUGAUGGCAGUUAGAAACAACAUGUUUAUACAAUGCAACAAAUCGAUAUGUUGUUGGUGGGAACCGAUCUAGCAGCAGAAGAGGGUCCGGUAGUAAAAGAUGGAAAAAGUUUUGCUAAGAACAGAUACAUAGAAGAGGUAGCAACAAUCAAAUAGGUAUCUGUAUCUCUCUAAAUGAUUAUCACGAUGUUGGUGGAUAUGUUGCGUUCCAAUAACAACUCAAUUCACAAGUAGUUUCUGAAAACCAAUACACGUAUUGACAAAUUCAAUAUGUUGAUCCCAGAAGAUAUUCUGUACCAUAUCAAACACUAAUACCACCAUAUCAAACGUCGAUAACACCAUUUGAAAGGCCGAUUGUAUAAUAUCAAAUGCCAAUUAUACAAUACAACCUAUUUUUCCAUUCUAAAAAGUGGGUCGCCGAAAGGAGAGGAAAGUGGUAUUGAAGAUGCAUAUAUAUGUGUAACUAACCUUGGAAUAACUGUAGGAAACAUACACUCAACUACUAGAAAAAUGGACUAUGGUCUGUAACUCAAAUGAGUCCAUGAACCGCAAUUAACUAUUUUUGUUGAUUAUCAAGACUAGCUAAGAGUAAACGUAAAUAAGAAUAAAAGGCAAAUACAAGUAGAAAGAAGUAUAUUGAAUCAAAUUGUAUCUGAAUUGAAAGCAACAAAAAGGAAUAUCAAGAUGUUAAACCCAUGAAAUCUCAAACCCAUUGAAAAUCUUGCAGCAUGACAAUGCUCAAAGACACAUCAAGGGCUUACACUCAAGAAAAAAGGUGAUAAAACAAAAAACCUAUUGCUUUUGUGUAUGCUCGACGGCUUUGAGUUAUCUUAUUAUUUAUUCCAUAUCUUGAUGUGUCUGAGCAUGUUGAUGUUGUAAUUUGAUAACUUUGCAUCAGUUCUGUACUCUUCUCUUUGCGUAACCAUUCUAUUUCAGCUUCCCUUUGGAUUUGAAUUCUAUGUUACCUGCUGAGUUGAUUUAAGUCCCACCUUCAAAUUUUCUUCAAAAGUUACCUCUUGCUAAACCCCUCAUAAGAAAUGUUCAUGCACAAACUCCCACCUAUUCAAUAAAUCUUGCUAAAUCCCUGAAUUAAAUCACAGAAACCAAUAAAAGAUGAAGGUGUAAGAAACAAAACACCACCAAAAACCACAACAACCAUGCAUGUACGGUGUUGUUUAUCAUUCAUAAUAACAUAACCAAGACCAAAACUUUCCCCCUUUGCAUGAAAAAAGAAAAAGAAAAUUUACAAAUAGAAAAAUAGAUAAUAAGUGGAUACCUGAUUCUUACUUAACUAUUUGAAAAAUAGACCAAGAUAUGUAACGUAAAUGAGUCCUUGAUUUUACAAUUAACUAUUGUUGUUGAUGAUCAAUACGAACCAAGAGUAAAAGUAACAAUUUGGAAAAGCAAAAUACAAAAAGAAAGAAGUAUAGGCAAUAAACUCGUAUUUGAUUUGAAAGCAACAAAAUGGAAAAUCAAGAUGUUGACCACAGGAAUUGUCAAACCCAUGGAAAUUCUUGCAGCAUGACAAUGCUCAAAGACACAUCUAGGGCUUAAACACAAGAAAAAAGCAAUAACACAACCUUGACUUCUUUUAAGUUUUUUCUUUAUUGAUUCCAUAUAAUGUUGUGUCUCCAAUAAUGAUGUGUCUGACCAUUUACAUGUUGUAACUCGAUAACUUCUUGCAUCAUAUCCGUAUUCUCUUUUGGUAGUCGUUCUAUCUCAGCUUCCAUUUGAAUUGUUCACUGAUUUGUUACCUGCUGGGACUAAUUAGACUGCCACCUUGGAAUGUUCUUCAAAUGCAACCUCUUGCUAGACCCUUCAACAUCGUUCACUUGCAAACACCCAUCUGUCCCAAUAAAUCUUGAGAAAUCCCUGAAUCAAACUAUACAAACCAGUAAACGAGAAUGCGCACGAAAUUAAACAACACCAAAAAACCAGAGAAACCAUGUAUUUUGUUAUUUUUUGUUCACAAGAGUAGGGCCAAAACAUCAACCAAGGCCUAACCUUUCAGCUUUCAUCCUUCACCCAAUCAUCUUCUUCCUCAACAUGAAAAACAAGAACAUCAAGAAAAAAAAAUCGAUAAUGAGUCGAUCGAUUACCUGAUUCUUAGUUGGAGCCAUGGAGAUGAAAAGUGGUGGAUGCUACAACAAGUCAGUGCGAGAGAAGUAGCAGGUGAUCAAGAGCACAAUAGCUUAUUACAAAUGUCAUACAAACCUAUAGUCUAAUAAUAACAACUUGAUAUUAUAUAAAUACCGAAUAUAACAAACAUUCCAAGAUUUAAAUUAUAAAUCCACGUUACAAACACAGAUCCAAAGAUUCACUGAUAAACAUAUAUCCAAGAACUACUCGGAUUCCAAGGAUCUAUGUGGCUUCUUGUCCUCUCUUCAUCUUGGCAACUCUUACCACGAUUGCAACGUAUAUCUUGUCCACAGUUUCAUCAGCAAACAUGAAAAUCUUGUGUCUCCAGUGCUUCUUCAACAACAAAACUCCAAUAACACCCCAAAACCCUGUCGCAAAACCACUCAUAAUAUCUAGGUAAAACCACCAUACCUUCAUCGACUCCUCAGCUGCUUUAUGUUUCUUCUUGGGCAUUGUGAUUGGGUCUUGAUGAUCUGAGCAAUCCUUUGGCAAUGGAGGUCCACAAAGAUCUCUGUUCCCAGAAUAUAUUGAUGGAUCAUCAAUAAGGGUCUGCAACUGACUUCCUGUUGGAAUUCAUCCCGACAAGUUGUUGUGUGACAGAUUCAGAUGGCUCAAAAAAGUCAACGCUGCCAUGCUUGGAGGGAUCAUCCCGGUCAACUUGUUUCCAUAUAAAUCGAGGGAUUCUAACCUUGUCAUGUUUCAAAUGCUGUAUGGAAUCAUCCCACUGAGAUGAUUAUUGGACAAUUUGAGACCCAACAACGUACAAAGUGCAGUUAGCUCGACAGGUAUUACUCCAACAAGUUUAUUGCUUGAAAGGUCCAUGUUGAAAACUAUAUCCCAAUUUGUUGUAUAUUCAAGAUCAACACCUUUCAUCACCUGAAUCACAUUCUCGUUGGGAUCAUAAAUGACAUUAUACUGCUUUUCUGCACCCUUCACCAUUGCAUUCAACUCUCUUAGGCAAUGAGGGAUGUUUCCCCUUAAGUUGUUGUAUGCAACAUCCAAAAUUUGAAGUUUCGACAUUUUGCACAAAGAUUCUGGAAUUUCCCAUGUAACCUUAAAACCAUCAAAUCUGUCAGCUUUUCUCCGAUCCAGUGGGGUAUGUUUCCGAACAGUUGAUUAUCACCCACAUCUAACACUCUUAAAGCUUGUAAAUUUCCCAAUUCUCGGGGAAGUUUACCUGUGAACUUAUUGUCGUUCAGUUUUAACCAAUACAAAUAUGAAUGCUUGAGACCUAUAUGGCUUGGAAUGACACCUGAAAGCAAAUUCGAGCUUAAUAUCAGGUUUUGCAACUCUUGGAGAUUCUGGAGACACUUGGGAAUUCUCCCUGUUAACCUAUUUCUGGAAAGGUCAAGAUAUCUUAAAUCUGUCCUUCUGCACAGUGACCUUGGAAUCGACUCGUUGAAAAUGUUAUUUACCAGUAUUAAUGCCUCUACAUAUACCACAUAUUUCUCAAAGACAUUUUUCCCAUUAGGAAGGUUUGUCAAAGGUCCAUUGAGUUUGUUGUGAGAGAGAUCUAAGAAAUAAAUGACAGGCAUCUCCCGCAACCAUGUGGGCAGAGGUCCAGAAAUUGAAGCAUUCGACAACACUAAGACAGAGAGCUCCCUUUGAUUUCGAAGCCACUGCGGAAAUCCAUUUGUAAUAUUGCAAGAACUGAGAUGAAGAAUUCUCAAUUGGAAUGGAGGAAUCCACUCACAUGAAACAUUGAAUGUUAACUUGGCGUUAGAAGAAGCAUACAAGUACCUCAACAUGGAAAUGUUAGCAAAAUGGGCUUCGGAAACUACUCCUUCUAAGGAAUUGACUGAGAUAUCUAGUGAAAUGAGUUUGGCAAGUUGCCCAAUUGAGACGGGAAUAGUCCCAUUUAACAAAUUUGAAGAAAGAAGAAUAUCUUGUAAUGAAACAAGUCUUCCUAGAGAUGCUGGGAUGCGGCCUGUUAAGUGAUUGGAUUGUAAAUACAAAGAUUCUAAAGCUGCUAGAUUUCCAAAGGAUUCUGGAAUUGAACCAUUCAAUUGGUUAUAAGAAAGGUUAACUCUGGAAAGAUUCCCAAGGAAUGUAGGAAUGGGACCCGUCAACUCGUUAUCAUGUAGAUCUAAUACCUCUAAGAAUCUUAAUCUUCCUAGAGAUUCAGGGAUUGGACCUGUCAAACUGCUAUUCCAUAGACUUAAGACUCUCAAAUUGGUUAGUCUUCCAAAUGCUUCUGGAAUCGUACCAUUCAAACACCAACUUAAAUCCAACCGCUCCAAAGCAUAUUGGGAGCAUUCUGAAACGUUUUGCGGUGGGUCAAUCCUUUCUAUUUCAGAAGGAUUCCUCAAUGCAAACAACUGUUUCAGGUGACACUGUCUCCAGAUUCCUACAUCCUCAAUAUUCGUAAGCUGGUUAACAGAAAGAUCAAGCUCUAGAAGGUUAGCCAUAAUAGGAACCGAAGAAUGCAGCAUGUUUCUUGAGAGAUCAAGGACUCUUAAGGAACUCAUGUUACUGAAAACAGAUGGAAAUAUGCCUUCAAUUGAAUUCCAGCUAAGAUCCAGGUGUUGGAUGUUAGAAAGCAUACUGAUAUUAAAAUGAGCGGAAGAUAGAAAAGUCUUAUCUAGCCCACAAAGUGACAAAUGCAGCUCUAAUAAAGAAGGGAUCAUGUUUAGCAAGUUUGCAAAGUUCCAUGCCAAACUAAGAUUAAAUUUAGAAAGAUCUAGGAAUGCUAGGGAUGUCAUGUUUCGGAAAAAUCCAGGGAGUGAAGUUUUCAAAGAAUUUAAGCCAAGAUCAAGGUGUUUUAUGUUGGCAAGAAUUCUACUCGAAUUAAGAAAAGGACCAAGAUGGACAUUGGAAAGUCCACAACCACGCAAACUUAACUCUUUUAAUGAAAGAAGAUUGUAAAGCACCAUGUCCAUGUUCUUUGCUCCGCCAAGAUCCACCCAACUCAAAUCGAGAUGCUCGAGUGAUGGAAGGCCAAAAGUCCAUGACAUAUCAUCUGAUGUCAGAUUAUAAUUUGAACUGAGAUCCAAAACCUUUAAAUUAGAAAGAUUUCCAAUGUGAGGAGGAAUAAUACCUUGAAAACCAGCAUAAGAGAGAUUGAGAUAUCUCAGCUGUUUGAAGGAUCCUAUGAACUUAGGGAUCCGGCUUCCACGUAAAUCAUUCCAACUCAAGUCCAGGUACUUGAGAUGCCUCAACUCAGCCAAAGAAGAGUUCACCUCUUUACCAACUAAGUAUUUGUCUCCUUCGCCACCAAAAUAAUAAUCUCCUCUGAGAUUGAGGCUGUCAACCGUUCCAGUGAGACUGUCGCAGUGGAUUCUUUCCCACAGGAAACAAUCCUCCCCCACCCAUGAUGACAACAUUCCUUUAGACUCAUAUUUGAUGUUGUGUUUGAACGUGAGAAGAGCAAGUUGCUCUUUCUAAGAGCAAACCACACUCACAUUUCCAACACCCAAACAAUUAUAUGUGGCUGCAAUCAAAACAACAAACACGAAAAUGAGAUGGAGCCCCAAACCCCUCGGAGUCCCCAUUAUCAAUCCUCCCUAACUCGGUUUAAUUUAGAAGAAAGUUGAAGUGGAAAGGUAUUGUGUUAUGAUGAAGUGAUAGAUUGUUAUGAUGAAGAAACCAGUUCAUUUAUAAUACCACAAAUGAAGACAAAGCUCUUAUGCACUCUGCAACAUGAACUCGCUGAGUCCAUGGGGGGACUCGACGAGUCCAUGAGUAAACUCAUCCUACUCGUCGAGUAGGUUCUUGCACUCGACGAGUAGGAGCCACAGAAUGCAGUUUUUACGAGUUUUGCUGCUGGAAAUGGACUAAAAAAAUUACCCUAAACUGUUUUGCUACUAGAAAACUUGUUUUAGAUGGUGUAAUGGUUAUGCUAAUCCAUUUUCAAUAGCUAUUAUCAGAACUUCAAGUUUUAUAUGGUUAAUUUUAUGAUUCUUGAAAUCGUUGAUAUGCAUGUUCAUGAACUUGUGAGUUUAGAAGAUCAUAGGAAUUAUUUGUAACUUGCUUGUUAGUUUAAAUCUUGAUCAUUAUGUGUUUUAAUGGAAUCUAUAAUUUGUCCUCAAGUUAUGGAUUGCCAAAAGUCACACUUUUAAAGACCAUUAAAGAAACACAUAAGUUACAUAAAAUGAAAAGUCAAUCAUUUUAUUAAACCAUUAAUUCAUAAAUUAUGAAAGAUGAAAACUUUUGAAAGUUACAAAACUUGCCCUCAAGUUUUGGAACAUGUAAAGUCACUCUAAAAACUUUAGUUCCAACCCCUAGAAUUUUAAAAGUUAAAAUUCAACCGUUAUACUUUAUAAUAUUAUAUUAUAAGUUUAAUAAUAAUUAUAUAUGUAUAAGUAAAAUUCGUUUUACCAUUACUCUUAAGAGUAAAUCAGUUGUUAUCACUCCUACUCCUACCGCGACCCCUAUCUUCGCAAUCGAACAAGGCAAAGGAAAGAAGAGGAAGAGCCCUUCGAAGGGUACCAAGGGAAAGUCUCUUGAUGGCUCCUCUUCAAGUGGAACCAAGAAAGGUUUUGUCACUCCUUCUGCUAACCCUAAAGAGGUGGAAUGCUUCUAUUGCCAUGAAAAGUUGCAUUGGAAGCGAAACUGCCCAAAGUACCAGCAAGUCGUGAAGGAUGGGAAAGUUAAACCCAACCAUGAAGGUACUUGACACGAUUAGCAUGGUCCAUUUGGGUUGCAUGGCAUCAUGCAUUUGUAUAGACUAAAAUGAAAGAAAUAACACUUAAGGUUUAUUAAUAUAUUAUAAGUUCUAAUAUAUUAAUAGUAUUAUUUAAUUAGUAUUGAUCAAGAAUUAAUUUGGAAUUACUUAAGUGAUCAAAAGAAGACUAAUUAAAUAUAUGGGUUGAUUGUGUAAGUCAUCCAUACUUGUAUAGUGGGCUUAUGCUCCAUGGAUUAUCAAGUUGGGCUAAAACUCAUAGGAUGCUCCAUGGAUGUUCCAUGAUGUUUAUAGAACCCAUGGGUCAUGGAAAUGAAAAGUUGUGACAAUUAGGGUUUACAUAGUGUAACCCUAAUUGCAACACGCUAUAUAAGCAUCAUGUUGUAGACCAAAAUUGGCCACUAAGGAUACAAUUGAGGGCUAGCCAAUUUCUAAGUGUUCUUCAUUUCUCUCUAAGUUAUUCCAAGUGCAUUUGGUGUUGUGUGAGACAUUUAAGGCAUCACACUUGAGGUGCUAGGCUCACAAGAUUUUCAAGGAAUCCAAACUAGUACAAGGUAUGAAUUUCUUACUCACUUUUAUGAUUAAAAAUUCCUCAUGUAUGCUAGAUAGGUUAUAAACCUUGGAAAAACAAAUUUGCAUGUAUCAUAGAUAAAACAUAGAUCCAAGGUUUUUAGGGUUGCAUGUACACCAUAGGAGUGUUAGAAUGCUCAAAACCCUACAUUGUACCUGAACCUAGGAAAAACACAAGAGCUAGAAAAGCUAUAUCUUUUGGAUCUGAUUUUCAACUUUAUUUGGUUGAAGGAACAAGGAAUGAGACUAUAUGUCAACAUCAAUAUUGUUUUAAUAUUGAAGAGGAUCCAAAUACUUUUAGUGAAGCUAUGGCUUCUAAAGAUGUUCAGCAAUUCAGGAUGUAAUUGAUUCUAUCAUGCAUAACAAUACUUGGGUAUUGUCUAGUUUACCUCCUGGUUGCAUGGUUGCAAGGUAUUGGGAAGUAAGUGGAUCCUCAAAAGAAAAAUGAAGGUGGAUGGAACAAUUGAUAAGUAUAAAGCCAGAUUGGUUAUCCAAAGCUUUAGGCAAAAAGAAGGCAUUGACUUCUUUGAUACUUAUGCUCCUGUUGCUAGAAUUUCCACAAUUAGAUUAUUGUUAGCUCUUGCAGUUAUACAUAAUCUUGUGAUUUACCAAAUGGAUGUGAAAAAUGCAUUCUUGAAUGGUGACUUGGAUGAGGAAAUUUACAUGAAACAACUUGAAGGGUUUGUGAUGCCUGGUAAUGAACAUAAGGUGUGCAAGUUGAAGAAAUCAUUAUAUGGUUUGAAACAAGCACCGAAACAAUGGCAUCAAAAGUUUAAUGAUGUGAUAUUGUCUAAUGGUUUUGCAUUAAACCAGGGUGAUAAAUGUGUAUAUAGCAAAUUUGAUUCUUCUGGUAAAGAAAUUAUAAUUUUUCUAUAUGUUGAUGAUGUAUUAAUUUUUAGUACCGAUCAAGGUGAAGUUGAUAAAACCAAGAAAUUCUUUUCAUUGUUGGAUUAUUUAUUGUGUUGUGUCAAAUUUACUUUGUAAGUAAUUAGCCUUUAUCAAACGGAUUGGGCUUGUCCAUACGUCAUUAUGGUGCUAGGGUUAGGUUAUAUAUAUUGCAUGCAUGUAUUGUAUUAGGGUUAAUCGUUUUGUGAUUCCCUACUUUGUCUUUACAUAAAAGUUCAAGUCGAACUCUUCUAAGGCAUUGAUUAUUAAUCAUUCAGCACAACUUCGAUUAUUGUUCUUCCUGUUUUGAUUCAUAUUAUUGUUCUGAAUCUAUCACUCUAUUAUUUAUUGUUUCAACAAUUGGUAUCAGAGUAGGAGAUUGUGUAAACCAUACACAAUUCUUCUGUCGAGUGUUAUUAGUGUUUUUCCGCUUUUACUGGAUCUGUUCUUGCCGUCUUCAUCAUUUUCAUCAAUUGUAGAUGUUGGAUCUUGAUCCUUAUUGUGCCCUUAACUCGAUUAUCGUUUUACACAUUUGACUCUUUACAGCCCUUUGCGAAUCAACAUCAUGCAACCAGAAGACCCUCAUACUAUCUCCUUUAAUAUAUUGUUCUACUACCAGGAUCCUUAUUCUCUUUCCACAAGACUAUGUAGUAUGGGCUUUACACUUCGAAGACUACGUUCUUGGUCUUGAAGAUCAUGUCACAUUAAUUUGGGAAGCUAUGAUUCAACAGACGUUCACUCACACUGCCAAAAGGAGGGUUAUUAAAACGCGAGCAAAAUACAAUGCUCUUCUUGUUGAUGUUAAAGAUGUUCCUCAAGACGAAAGAGACAAGCUGAUAAGUAAUGUCAAUGCAAUGAGGAUAAUCAGGUUCGCUCUUCCUUCAGACACGUUUCUUCUGGUGAGUUCUUGUGAAACAGCGAAGAAGGUUUGGGAUAGGAUGAAAGAACUCUAUUCGAGUGAUGCAGAUCUUGAGCAGUUAGGUAAAGAACUACUUCUUUCGGAGUUUGGUGCUUUUGCUCAAAAGCCAAAUGAGAAACUCUAUGUUGACUUCAACUUAACAUGCUCCUUUGGAUUGUUAUUUGGGUUUAGCUCUAACAAUGACUAUAUAGUUAGAAUAAUGGUUUUAUGUUUAUUGGGGUGAUAAAAGCAUUGCCAUUCGGAACCAUUCAUUUCAAAGGGAUUAUAUAUGAAUGGAUUUCUACAAGAACUUUCAUGUUUACACUAUGGUUUACUCUGCUUUGUUGCAUUUAUCAUUUUCACUACACCAAUUGUUGUAGAAAUACAUAAAUAAUUAUGUAAAAACAAAAUCACACAUAUGACCCUUUUUGUUUAUAUCGACACAAUCAUAAAACUUCAUUCAACAUAGAAAAUGUGACACUUAUGUAUAAAUAGUUUAUUCUUGUCUUAUAGUUAUUCACUUAAGGGAGGUUUUGGUUUGGUUGAAUUAGACUCCUAAGAGAUUUAACAAUGUGGUUGUGGCUCUUAUAAAGAAACAUUGUGUAAUCUAAACAACUUCAUGAUUUCCAAAAUGGUGGAAAUCAUAUUUUGUAAGCAUGGUAUAUUUUUCAUCAUCUUUAACCAUGUUCUUACUCAUAAAAUUGCUUUGUUUGAAAUUUGACGGUUUUCGGAUUAUGUUUUACUAAUAGUCAAAUUUGAUAAAUAGUGGAACCUUAUUGAUUAAAUGGAUGAGAUUAACAUUAAAUAUUUGGUCAAUAGUGGAACCUUGUCAUAUCAUCUGGUUAAUUGCUUGGUCUUCUAUGUUACAAAAUCAAAUUGAACAAGAUGAUGACAAGUUUCAAAAGAAACAAAGAAGCAUGGAUCGAAUAUAGGAUAAUAAUCUGCAUUUUACAAGCUAAAUGUACAACCUUUAAUAUAAGAAGUUCUCUAGCAAUUGUUUCAUCAUGGACUAUAUUUAAUGUACAUGAAAGGAAGAACAAUGUGUUGCUUUCUUCAAACACUACAUAAAUGAAUUCAAAACCUGAUCAUAUAACCUAAACUAUAUAUGAAGAUGAAAGUACUAUGGUGGCUUUUGUAACACAAGGCAAGAUUUCUAAGACUAUUUUCAAAGAGGGUCGGGCGUGGGGGGAUUGAUUUCUUUUGCACAACCAAAGAACAAGAGCAAGUCACCAUCUCAUCUUUUUGGGCAGGACAAAAAAUUGCAAUUUGUCUCAUUGGCAUUAAUCCCGGUUUUAGCACACCAAAUAUUGGUACAUUUCUAUGUAAUAAAGGAGAUGUAGAAGAGAAGAAAAAUGAUACUAAAGAUGUAUAUGAGGAACUAAUCUUGGAAGAAAACUAUAGGAAACAAGUACUUAACUACUUUGAAAAAUAGAUCAAGAUAUGUAACAUAAAUGACUCCUUGAUUUUACAACUAACUAUUGUUGUUGAUUGAUGGUCAAGACAAACUGAGAGUAAAAGUAGAAACUUGAAAAAGCAAAUACAAAAAGAAAGAAGUAUAUGCAAUCAAUCAACUUGUAUCUAAAUUGAAAGCAACAAAACGGAACAAGAAGAUGUUGAACCGCAGGAAUUGCCAAACCCUUGGAAGUUUUUGCAGCAUGACAAUGCUCAAAGACACAUCAAGGGCUUAAACACUCAAGAGAAAAGUAAUAACACAACAACACAACUUGCUUAUGUCCAUGCUUGAUUUCUUUUAAGUUUUCUCUUUGUGUAAUUGUUUGAUCUCAGCUUCCAUUUGAAUUGUUGUUCAUUUGUUUGCUACCUGCUGAGACUGAUUAGACUUCCACCUUGGAACGUUCUUCAAACGCCACCUCUUGUUAAACCCCUCAGAACCACAUGUCCCAAUAAUUCUAGAGGAAUCUCUGAAUCAAAUCAUGCAAACCAGUAGAAGAGAAUAUGCAAGAAAUUAAACUAACACCAAAACCCACAAACAAACCACAAAAAUCACACAAACCAGUUGUUCUUACUUUAUGUUCAAAAGAGCAGGGACAAAAUAUUAAUCAAUACCUAAACUUUACCCCUUCACCCAAUCAUCUUCUUCCUUAACAUGAAAAACAAGAACAUCUAGAAAAAAAAAAUGGAUAAUGAGUCGAUUACCUGAUUCUUAGUUGGAGCCAUGAAGAUGAUAAGUGAUCGAUGCUGCAGCAGAUUGGUGCAAGAGAAGUGACAGGUCAAGAGCACAAUAGCAUACAAAUAUAGUCUAAUCUAAUAACUAGAUAUUAUAUAAAAAUACUGAAUGAUAAAUACAACAAACAUUUUAAAAUUGAAACCUUUAAACAACAUCCACAUUACAAACAUAGAUCCAAAUAGUAGCAUUAAAACAAAAACUUCAUUGAUAACAUAUAUCCGAGAAUUACUUGCAUUCCAGAGCGCCUAUACAGCUUCUCUUCCUCUCUUGAUCUUGGCAACUGUUACCAUGACUCCAACGUAUAUCUUGUCCAUGAUUUUCUCAACAAACAUGAAAAGCCUCCAUCUCCACUGCUUCUUCAACAACAGAACUCCAAUUACACCCCAAAAACCUGUUGCAAAUCCACUCAUGAUGUCCAGGUAAAACCACCAUACCUUGAAAACCAGCAGCAGAGAGAUUGAGGUACAUCAGCUGUUUGAAGGAUCCAAUGAACUCAGGGAUCCGGCUUCCACUGGCAACAAUCCUUACCCACCCAUGAAGACAAGAUUAUAAACUCAAUUUUGAUGUCCAAUCAUUUUACACAACUAACUACAAGAAAAUAAUUUUUUUGUUAUUAUUUGACUUGACAUGGUUGAUGUGCCAAGCCCAAGCCUAAUUAAAAGAUACUUUCUUCUNNNNNNNNNNNNNNNNNNNNNNNNNNNNNNNNNNNNNNNNNNNNNNNNNNNNNNNNNNNNNNNNNNNNNNNNNNNNNNNNNNNNNNNNNNNNNNNNNNNNAAAGAAUAUGUUCUCGACAAGGAUCUUAACGAACUUGAGUCGUCUGCUACUCCUAAGGAGAUCGUUGAAUAUGAGGCACAUGAAAGAGAUGCUACCAAGGUGGCAUGCAUCAUGUUGGCCACUAUGACAGCCGAGCUCCAAAAGUCCUAUGAGGACUACUAUCCUUUUGAGAUGCACUAGGAUUUAAUGGACCGCUACCAUCAGAGUUGUAACAACCCAAAAAUCAUGACUAAAAAUUUCUUUAAAAACAUUACUAAAAUCAUAUUUAUAAAAACUGUAUCAUAAGUCAUAACAUAAAUUCUCGAGUAUUAAUUCAAAACAUAAUAUCAUUAUCAGAGUCAAACAUUCCCAGGCUAACUGACUAUGAUGUGUGCACUGCAAUCUUUCCCGAGCUCCUCUUUUGAAAACUGAGUACCUGAAACCAAAACUGAAAACCAUAAGCACGAAGCUUAGUGAGCUCCCCCAAUCUACCACAUACCAUGCAAUAACCUAUAAAGCACAUACUAGGCCUUGCCCACUGCAUCGGACCGAGGUCCGGACUGACUGGGGCCUUGCCCCCUGCAUCGGACCGAAGUCCGGAAUCUGACUGGGACCUUGUCCCCUGCAUUGGACCGAAGUUCGGACUAACUGGGGCCUUGCCCCCCUGCAUCGGACUUAAGUCCGGAAACUGACUGGGACCUUGUCCCCUGCAUCGGACCGAAGUCCGGAAACUGACUGAACAUAGCAUAGCAUAACAUAUCAACUAGCAUGAACACAUAUACUGCAUAUUGCAUCGGGCUGUAGCCCGGAACACAUAACACAUAAAUCCUGUCUGAGCCACGAAGGCAUCAAACAUACUAACUACUGCAUCGGACCGAAGUCCGGAAACUACUGCUAACUGAACGGGUCGGCAUUGUGGCCUUAGACCCGUUCCUACUGGAAGGAAACUCACCUGAUACUGCUGAACUGCUGCUGCUAAUCCCUUUGACUGCUACCUGACCUCUGACUUCGAACUGCUGCUCCACUAGCUCCUCGAGCUACCAAUAUCAAUAUAACACUUAGUCCAACUGACCUCCAAACGUCAACUAAGUCACCUCUGGUCAAAGUCAACCUUCUGGGUCAACCCUACUUGCCGAGUCCACCUAAUGACUCGCCGAGUUCAUAUGCUCAGGGUCUUUCUAUUCGCGACUCGACUCGUCGAGUCAGUCCAUGACUAGCUGAGUCAACUAUUCCCGAGUCCUGACCUGUCCAACUCGCUGAGUCUCCACACAACUCACUAAUCUGAGCCUUGACUCGAAGGGUUUGGGGUUUCGCGACUUGACUCGCCGAGUCCAUGAACAGACUCGUCGAGUCCAAGGCAAUCUUCAACAGACUCGCCGAGUUGUUCAUCCAACUCGUCGAGUUCAUCUCCAUCUUCAUACUACUCGCCGAGUCCACUCAAAGGACUCGNUUGUCAUGGAAGACAAUUUAUAUCCACAAACUUGUAUUUUUUGGUCUUGGGAUAAUUUUCAAUUUUUCUUGAUCAAUUUAAGUCCUUUUUUGGCUACUUUUGCAUGAAAUACGUAAUUCUGUUUAAGUCCUUUUUUGCCUAUUUUUUUUUUUUAUCAAUCAAAAUUAAAUGGUCUAUAAUGCACCUACAGUUGGCAUGUUACAAUCAUAUUUUAUCCUAAAAUAUCUUUAAUAUAAUUAGAUUUAAACAUUAAAGAAAUUAUAUAAUAGUUUUUUGAGUAAAUUACAUGAAUGGAGUCAUGUAGUUUUGGGUAAUUUGUGUGUAUGGUCCUUAACUAUUUUUUCUAACUCGGACGGUCCUUAUAGUUUGGUUUUGUUUAGGUUUUGUGUCCCCAAACAAAUUAAUAUGACUAUCUUGCUCUCAAUGUAGAUUAGCAUAAACCACAGGGACCAUUUGUGUAAUUUACUCUAGUUUUUUCUUUUAAGUUUGAUACCACUAUUGCUACAAUUUUUUUGGCUUGAAUUGGAACACUGUUGGGUAUAUUCUAUGUUGAAGGUCAUCACUAGCCCCAAUAGAAUCAUGUUAUUGUCUAGAAGAAGUUAGCAUGUUCUAGAAUGAUCUGGAAGAUUCUAGAACAUUAUGGAAUACUAUGGAGAAGUCUAGAAGAUGCCAGAAGAUUCUAGAAUACUCUAGAACGAGAUGGAAGACCCUGGAAGGCUAUGGAACAUUCUAGAACACUAUGGAAGGCACAAGAAUGUCUAUACUUAUCUAGGACAUUAUAGAACAUUCUAGAAACAUAUAAAAGCUUGUAAUUGAUAUAGAAUAUGGUAGAUAGUUCUAGAAUAGUCAUGAAUUUAUGUAGAUCUAGAAACUUCCUAUAAGGAGGUGGAAACACCUAUAAAUAGGUGUGGAGCUCAUUUGCUCCAAAUCAAUCCCAACAUCCAAACCAUCCAAGAAAGCCUCAAAGAAAGCAAAGUGUAUUGUAGUCUCACAAAGUGUAAGAUCUUCUUAAGCGUCUUAAUAAAAGUCUUGUUGCUUCCCAUAUAAAAGAGUCGUGUUCAACAAUCUGGUAUCAGAGCAAGGUUUCUUGAUAGUGAGAACGAGUGAUUCUCGUUGUAUCGUGAGUAGUUUGUGACUCUGCAAGUUUAGUAUCGAAACUAGCUUGUUUGGUAUUACCGAGGUACUGCCAACACGAUGGGUGAUCUCCAAGUCGUCGGAGGAAUCAAGAAACUCAACAACAACAACUACAAAACGUGGGAAACAUGUAUGAAGUCCUACUUACAAGNGCCAAGUCUAUCCCCCUUGGAAGAAGCAAGUGUAAUUGCAAUAAAAAAAAAAAUUUUAAACAAUUAAAAAGGAAUUGAAUAUAAUAUAGUAUUUGGCAAGAUUACUAUUAUAUUAGAAGUCACUACAAAAGACUUGGAAGUCAAUGGACAGUUUGUAGCCACAAACUGGUAUUUUUUUUCUAUGCCCCAAGGAAAACACAAAUGUAUUUGGCCACAAGUAUUUUUCACAAAAGAAAUUUGAGUCAACUUCUCCCUAANGAAUACCACUUCCCAAAGAAUUUCUACAUUACCCAUCAGCUUUCAUUUUAUCCUUGUUUGUUCCUCUAAAUACCUUUUUAAUGUAAGUAAAUACAAUAUGAUGUAGAGAUGACAAUUCCAACCCAUUUAUAGAAAAAUGGGUUGAUUUAGGUCAUUCUUUAUAUCUAAUUGGUCAAACAGGUCAGCCCGGUUCCAAAACUCAUUUAUAUGUGUUAAAAGUUUGUGAGCUGUUUUAAUAACCAAUUAAUAUCUUACUUCUUAAAACACAGUUUUAAUAAGUUUUCUUAAAAUAUUUAAGGCAUUCCAGUAAACACUUAUGAUAUUUUAAAACACACAUGCACUUAGAAGAAGCACUGAUUUUGUUGUCUUU